rnacentral:rRNA from 1 species
AGGAUGAACGCUGGCGGCGUGCCUAAGACAUGCAAGUCGAGUGGGUUUAGACCCACGGCGAACGGGUGAGUAAUACCUAGGAACUUUCUUUAAGUGGAGCAUAACCCAUAGAAAUGUGGGACAAUUCUCCAUGUGGCAGUAAUGCUAAAGUCGCAAGACGCUUAAAGUGAGGCCUGGGCACCAUCAGCUAGUUGGUAAGGUAACGGCUUACCAAGGCUAUGACGGUUAGGGGUCCCGAGAGGGAUAACCCCCACACUGGAACUGCGACACGGUCCAGACUCCUACGGGAGGCAGCAGUUUGGAAUUUUGGACAAUGGGCGAAAGCCUGAUCCAGCGACGCCGCGUGGACGAUGAAGGCCUUCGGGUCGUAAAGUCCUUUGCUCGGGAACAAUAUUUUGAGCGUACCGAGAGAAUAAGAGGUUGCUAACUCUGCGCCAGCAGCCGC